UAAUCAGUGUAGCGGUUCUUUAUUUGUAUUUCAUUACUUACCAAUUAACGGUAAUAGUAAUUGUUCAAUAUUAAUUAAGGUAUAAAGCUUUAUCAUCACAAU